AUUGAACGCUGGCGGCAGGCCUAACACAUGCAAGUCGAACGGUAACAGGAAGCAGCUUGCUGCUUCGCUGACGAGUGGCGGACGGGUGAGUAAUGUCUGGGAAACUGCCUGAUGGAGGGGGAUAACUACUGGAAACGGUAGCUAAUACCGCAUAACGUCGCAAGACCAAAGAGGGGGACCUUAGGGCCUCUUGCCAUCGGAUGUGCCCAGAUGGGAUUAGCUAGUAGGUGGGGUAACGGCUCACCUAGGCGACGAUCCCUAGCUGGUCUGAGAGGAUGACCAGCCACACUGGAACUGAGACACGGUCAAGACUCCUACGGGAGGCAGCAGUGGGGAAUAUUGCACAAUGGGCGCAAGCCUGAUGCAGCCAUGCCGAGUGUAUGAAGAAGGCCUUCGGGUUGUAAAGUACUUUCAGCGGGGAGGAAGGGAGUAAAGUUAAUACCUUUGCUCAUUGACGUUACCCGCAGAAGAAGCGCCGGCUAACUCCGUG
rnacentral:rRNA from 1 species